UGUCAACGAUCAGUACAAGAGAAAGUCAGUCAACAUUUCAAAAGAAUGGAGGAAAGGCUUGUGAGGUCCCACUCAUAGCUGAGGUGCUAUUGAUGGCUGCCUGGAGAGGAUAUCCUGGGUUGAAUUCCUCCCCACAUCCACCAGACAGCGCAAACUACAAGUCCUACCACACCUGCACACUUGCCUAUCCUUCUACAACCUCAUUGGAACUCUGAAACAUAGCCUGCUAUAUACAAUACCGACAGAACCAAGAGGCACAGAACAGCUGUACAAUUACAAAGAAGACAAUGCAACAAGGACUCGGAGGGGUUGACAAACAGGAUCCAGCUGGAAGUUAGGCCAUAAAGGAUAUUAGAAAGGCAAAUGGAGAACUCUAGCACCAUGACACCCUUCUGGAUCAUUGGCACAAAAUGCAAUUGAAAUGAUGGGUGUGAAGUAACCAUCAUAGACUUUUCACAUUUACUGGAUUGAGAAUCUCAAAACAGAAUCUUGGCAAUUCCGUGUCUUAAGAAGAAAAAACAGUAUUAAUGUUUCUCAGAAAAUAAAUAGAACUGCCAUAUGACUCAA